UAACUGCUGCUUCUUUCUUAUGCAUUCCACACCCACUCCAGGGGGAGACACUGAUCUCACCAAUCACUAUCCUAUCCCUAGGAAUGCUGGACAAAUGCAUUGGGCAUGCCUUAAAGAUUUAUAUGUGCAGCUGGAAGUUCUCCUCACAUUGCAGCAUCAUGACAUGGUGAGAAUAGAGGGAGUAUGAUCAUGCAGAACCAGCUCCAGUGUCUGGUUUCUCUCUAAGGGUCACACAAGUUAUAGGUGAAUUUUAUUUUUUUUCAUUAAUGGACUGGUCUGAAACUGAGAUGGG